GUGCUUCCUUCGGCAGCGCAUAUACUAAAAUUAGACCAAUACAGAGAUUAGCAUAGCCCCUGCACAAGGAUGACGUGCAAAUUUGUGAAGUACUCCAUAUUAAC
ensembl:snRNA U6 U6 spliceosomal RNA